UUUAGGAAGUCGCAUUGCCCAGUGGUUGGAUCAGGAGUCUGAGCACGGCAUUGUGUCACUGGAAAUCCAGUUAAUUCCGGAUGCUACUCUUGGUUACUACAGAAUCACAGCUGAGAGAGAAUCUGGGUUUGCAGUGGGGCAGGGGUUUUCUGUAGAGGAAAUUGUGUUACCCAGAUACAGCAUCUCUGUUUCUUCACCAAACACCCUCAGUAUAUUAGACGAGACUCUGACGUUUAAUGUCACUGCCACGUACACGUAUGGGCAACCAGUACCCGGCUCUGUCACAGUCAGAUGUUGCAGGAAUUCAGGG